GGCCUUCCCCCACCACGUUGCUGGUUUGCAUUUUAAUACGUUUCUCUGCUUAUUGAGAUGGCGGUAGCAUGAUCUAAUCCAAGGACGGGAAGGUUUAUUCUGCAAAGUUUAGGAUGUGGAUAGAGAAAACAAGAAAGACUCCAGACAGUUAUAUAAGACCCCCCCCCCGGGACUAUGAGGGUGACAUCCGGAAGGUGAAGAGGAUGAGUUCUGUAUGAGAUGCAAGAUUAACAAGCUGCAGAAAAUCUUACGUCUUCAACAAUUUGAAGAAGACCCAUUAUUAGAUUUACUCACCUAGAAGUCAAAGAGAAACGUGAGUGGAAGAUGGAGAGACAAACACUAACUUACAUGUAAGAAGGAAGGGCCCAGCUCACUAACCCUGUUUGGGAGUGGACAGGCCAUGAUAAUGUUGGUAACUCUGGACAGCUGAGGCUAUGGUUGGAUGCCAACAUUGUCCCUUUAAUGUGACUACAGAUCCAUUAGCACCUGAAUAAAAACAAACAAACUCUGGUGUUGAUGUGAAUC
rnacentral:lncRNA from 1 species